GAGACAGUAGCACAGUUGGCUAAAGUGUUGUUGUUUGACAUUGAAUAUUUCUCCUGAGUUCGAGUCUCAGCUGCCUCA